GCUGACAACACUGCUUAUGGCUAAUAUGUACAGUAGUAACAUGGAUUAACCAUGCCUAACUCUCCUUCAGUAGCUAGAUCCACAUUUCCAGAUGUUCCUGAGUCACUCAGAGCUGAAGCCCUCUCUCUGACUUAUUGUGAAGGAAGGUAUGCAAGAAGUAAUUGAAAAAGUAAAAAUAUAAAACCAAAUGUGAAGCAUCAUUAUAACUCCUAUGUAGUAUUCCCUUUUUGUACAUUCCAGGGAUCUCAAUCACCACUAGUGCUCUUACUUGCUUCCUGCAAGGAGCACUUGCCUUCACACCAGGCCCAAUAGCCAUAGAUGAGGAGGCCUUUGAAGCACCCGUGGUCAAGAAAGCUCACCAAACAACUUCAGGAGUGCAACAUGUUGCCCGUCUUGGAUGUAGGCCUGAAGCAACAAUUUCUUGCAUUUGUCAUACUGCCUGAUAACCUGUACACACUUUUAUCUUCAACAACAUUGGGAGGACACCAGAAGAAGGAUUAUUCCUUCUUUAUAGGUGAAAUUUCACUUUUUAAAAAAUGUGGUAAUGAGGGAAAGAGAAUCUCCUUCCACACGUAACGUUGGGGGCAUUUCUUUAAAGAAGAACUCAGAAACAUGAGUGUGUAGAACAGACACUCCAGCAUGGUCCGAUCCAACUGAUGCUGGUAAGGCUCUUAAUGACAAGGCU
rnacentral:lncRNA from 1 species